rnacentral:lncRNA from 1 species
GACAAGCCAUGUAUUAUUCUAGGUUGUUUAUUGUGAAAAACUGAAAUCGAAAAUCCGCUUAUAGUUUAUGUAGACUAUAUGGAAAUGAAGAUAAACAAUUCUCAGUUAAUUCAUUUUCAUCAACGGUAGACAUGUGUAGAGACUGAAGUAACAAACGGCAAAAACCAUCGAUUAUAAAAUUUGUUUCAUUACAUGAAUUAUUGCUGUAUGUAUUUUUGUUUAUGUAGAUUUAGACAUGCAAUCGUCUAAUACAACUAGAUAUUGAUUUUAGGAGGAAGUGGCGGGACACGUUUACAUCUUGACCCGAUCGUACAUCCUCGUUUGUACGGAUUUACUGGUUGCGGGGGUUGACACGAGCCAGGGUAGUUAGGAUCACACCCAGGAGGAUUAUCGCCACGGUCUAUUGGUGGAUAUCCAAUGAAUUUUCCAGUCGCUAUGUUGCUGAUCAUAAACACACAUGCUGCUAUGAGUAUUGCAACGACCAUACCCCUGCUUGUUCCUUUUAGAUUGCUCAUGAUUUGUGUGCAAAAUUAAAUGUGCAAAGAAUAGCUAAUGGUGUGUUU